CGGGCGUUGGGCGCGCACCCCGCCCCGUCUCCAUGGAGACCGCUUGCCAGCCUCCCAACAGCCCACCGGCUGCGCGGCCCCGGGGACCAGACGCGCGGAUCCUCAAGCCCGGAGACGCAUGUCAACACGGGGACCCCCCAGACCCCCUUCUCGACAGGCCCAGGAAGGGGCGGGGGGGAGUCUCUCGUUUAACAAAGGGUCGAUGCUGGGGCAGGUUUGGGAAAAGGAAUUGACCCAAAGCCUGGAGAGCUUGGACCCCUGGGUCCUGUUGCUGGUCCAGGACCUGCACUGGAGCUUUCCUGCCACAGGUCCUCCUGAGGCCUUGCCAAGGUUUCCCUGGGGUGGCACCGAGGCCAGACCCCAGGACUUCGUCCCCUGGGCACAGAUCCCUCUGGUCACUCCCCACGGGGCUGCACUGGACGAGGCUCUGAGAUGAGGUUCUGUGAAGGACGCUGCAAGACUCCCCCCGACGCCGCCGGGCAGCCACCAGGGAAGGCGUCCCGCUGUGGGGACCGCUUGCCCCCAUAGAUCCCAGCCAGGCUAUGGCAGAAGCUCUGCAAAGCUGACCUUGGUCUUUGACCUCUGCCUGGUAGACUCAGAGAACAGCCUAGGCCACAUCUACGCCCGCCAAGGAGACCAACUGCUGGUUUCCUCCCAAGACCCGCACCCUGCACAGAUUUUUAGAUGUCCACAGCCCCAGUAGAGGACUGGCUAACCUGAAAGCUGACUUCUCCCGGGAUAUGGCCAAGUGACCGCUGGUGCACACCUGACCUGUCACUGCACCAACCACUAGAGCUGGCUUCCAGAGUGACCUUUUAACUGGUCCUCACUGGCCACUCCCGAUGCUGCCUUCAAGGCCUGUACAGUCGGCACCUGCUGGCCUUUGUAUGUCAGGAAUCCACGCCACCAGCCCCUGUGGUGACACCGGACACUGGGGACCAGAGCUUUGCAGAUUUGCCUGAUGGUAAACCACCAGAGAUCUGUCCUCGUGUGGAACCACCACACUGCACACCUCUGUGCCUUUCUUGUCCACCUGUCUGGGAUGCUUUUCUAUUCCAAUUUUGUCCCAGGAAACAAAAAAAAGUCCAAACCAAAACAGAAGACAACAAAAGCAUUAAUUAAUUUUAUCUGUCCCGGUGUUCACAGACUUACAGGCCUACCUGGCCAGGUAGAAAAUAUCAAUGAAUGAGAUGGUUUGCGAGGGACUGGUGAUCUGAGGGGCACAGUGCGCCCAUAAGGGGGCAAUGAGCCCAGCGCCCGCUGCUAUGCCAGGUAGAAGGCAGGCCCCGGGCUGCAGAACACUCUGAAGACAAGUGGCAAAACGACAUUUUUUUAGUCUAUAAUCUCUUCUUCUCUCAACAUUAUUCAAAAUUCAGAUUAAAAGACUUCCCUGGUGGCACAGUGGUUAAGAAUCCGCCAGCCAGUGCAGGGGACACGGGUUCGAGCCCUGGCCCAGGAAGAUCCCACAUGCCGUGGAACAGCUGAGCCCGUGCGCCACCACUAUUGAGCCAGCGUUCUAGAGCCCGCGAGCCACAACUACUGAGCCCACGUGCUGCAACUACUGAAGCCCACACGCCUAGAGCCCGUGCUCUGCCAUGAGAGAAGCCACCGCAAUGAGAAUCCCGCGCACCACAACGAAGAGUAGCCCCCGCUCGCCGCAACUCCAAGAAAGCCCAUGCGCAGCAACGAAGACCCAACACGACCAAAAAUAAAUAAAUAAAAUUAAAAAAAAAUUAGAUUAAAGAAAAAAUUGUAAGAAGUAAGACAAGGCACGUCUGCAGCUCAGGGUUGACCUGCCUGGCUUGCUAGCCUGGACUUCAGCGCAGAUUCAGCCCUGUCUGCCCGUGAUCUUAUGAAAACUCCACUUAAGCCUGCUGUGUGCAGACCCCCUGGACACUGUUCUUUGCAUGUGCCUGAGCCCCAGAGAUCCCUCCGUGUUACUGGCCGGCUGGGGGCUCCUCAGGGUGGGACCCUGCCUGGCCCAGCUCCCUCACCUGCUUCUCCCUGAGGAGCAAGGGCUGCCCAAAGAUUCUUUACCAAACUGAUCCUGCAACCAGUCUAGAAGGAGAUGGAGAGGGAGGUGGGGGUCUCUGGGCCUCUCAGCACCAGGUGCCAGGCCAGCCGCGGGGUGCACUCUUCCUGCUUUGAGUUUGGCCCCAGACUUGUGAGCCGACUUUCUCAAAAGCCCCUCCCACCCCCUGGACCUAGAGGUCAGCGUGGAAAGAGCAGCACAGCAGCUUGGCUUCCAAGGCAGCAUCCGCGCAGUACUGAGAUUCCCAAACUCAGCCCUGAAAAUCUGCACCUCGUUCCUGGCCCCUUUCUGGAUGGUUUAUGUGCUACCCCGCGAUGUGCACUUGUGCGUAAGCCAGCGCCCUGCUCUGGGGCCCCAGCGGGCAGCUCAGGGCCCUGUUGCUCCGGGGAGCCCUGGGCGCCUCCAGGUCCAGGUGUGACUUCCCAGGGGGACGGUUCCUGCGCACAGUGAGGGGCGUGUGACGGUAGCUCCUCGGGCUUCAGGCCUUGACUGAGAAGGGAAGGGGGUUUCUCUCUUCCCCUUUCCAGAAACGUACAAAACAGAAGUAGAAACCAACUGCUGUGCCCUCUAAUACUUGUCUGCUGCCAACCCGUCAUCUUGCAGGACCACGGACACUGGAACACGAUGACCACGGUGACGCCGGCUCCUUUCCUAGUUCCCUAAGGAGCCUUGGGCCACGGCCUCUGCUGAUUGGUCACAAUCCAGAAGAGUGGUUCUCAACCUGGCUGCACACUCAGAUCACCUGGUGAGCUUUAAAAACUCCCAGCGCCUUCUCCCAGGACAGUGAAAUCCACAGUGCCAAAGGAUCUUAGUUCCCCGACCAGGGAUUGAAUCUGUUCCCCUUGCAGUUGAAGCAUGCCGUCCUAACCACUGGACCACCAGGGAAUUCCUGUGGACUUCUUAAUGAUGGCCAUUCUGACUGAAGAACUUGGCCCACACCCUAGAAUGCAGGCCUCUGGAGAGAGGGAGGUGCUCUGAGAAGCAAGCUACAAUGCGGGGCAGGUCCUGGGGGCACAGCUGCCUGGCUCCACACCCAGGACACAGGGAAGGCAUGGCGGGUUGUACUGGGAAGAAGGAGAGAAGGUCUGCUCACCUAAGGAUGCCACAGCCCCGAAAGGAGCACCUUCCAGAACAAAGGUAAAGUCCCUAGGACAGGUCUGGUAGGAUUUUCCUUUUCCUUUCUCUCUUGUACGUGGAUGCUGAUCUAAUAAGGGAGUUUCAAAGUGUGGAGCAGAGAAAAAAAAGAAAAA